AUUGAACGCUGGCGGCAUGCUUUACACAUGCAAGUCGAACGGUAACAGGCCGCAAGGUGCUGACGAGUGGCGAACGGGUGAGUAAUGCAUCGGAACGUGCCCAGUCGUGGGGGAUAACGCAGCGAAAGCUGCGCUAAUACCGCAUACGAUCUGUGGAUGAAAGCGGGGGACCGAAAGGCCUCGCGCGAUUGGAGCGGCCGAUGUCAGAUUAGGUAGUUGGCGGGGUAAAGGCCCACCAAGCCAACGAUAUGUAGCUGGUCUGAGAGGACGACCAGCCACACUGGGACUGAGACACGGCCCAGACUCCUACGGGAGGCAGCAGUGGGGAAUUUUGGACAAUGGGCGCAAGCCUGAUCCAGGAAUACCGCGUGCAGGAAGAAGGCCUUCGGGUUGUAAACUGCUUUUGUACGGAACGAAACGGUCCGGGUUAAUACCCUGGGCUAAUGACGGUACCGUAAGAAUAAGCACCGGCUAACUACGUGCCAGCCGCCACGGUAAUAC
rnacentral:rRNA from 1 species